rnacentral:rRNA from 1 species
CUAUACAUGCAAGUCGAGCGGACACGAUCGGGAGCUUGCUCCCUGUAUGUUAGCGGCGGACGGGUGAGUAACACGUGGGUAACCUGCCUGUAAGACUGGGAUAACUCCGGGAAACCGGGGCUAAUACCGGAUGCUUGAUUGAACCGCAUGGUUCAAUUAUAAAAGGUGGCUUCGGCUACCACUUACCGAUGGACCCCCGGCGCAAUAACUAAUUGGUGAGGUAACGGCUCACCCAGGGAACGAUGCGUAACCCAACUGAAAGGGUGAUCGGCCACACUGGGACUGAAACACGGGCCAAAAUCCUACGGGAGGCAGCAGUAAGGAAUCUUCCGCAAUGGACGAAAGUCUGACGGAACAACGCCCCGUGAGUGAUGAAAGUUUUCCGAUCGUAAAACUCUGUUGGUAGGGAAGAACCAGUACCGUUCGAAUAGGGCGGUACCUUGACGGUACCUAACCAGAAAGCCACGGCUAACUACGUGGCAGCAGCCGCGGUAAUACCUAAGUGGCAAGCGUUGUCCGGAAUUAUUUGGGCGUAAAGCGCGCGCAAGCCGUUUCCUAAGUCCUGAAGUGAAAGCCCCCGGCUUCAACCGGGGAGGGUCAUUGGAAACUGGGG